GCUGACUAUCUCAGGAGAGAUGGAGGAAAUCUAUGUCAAUGUUCAACAUGGCAAGUCAGUCAACAGAAGCUCUUCAACAAUUCAAACAGGUCCAAAGAGCUCUGAUGGGAAGUUUCACAAAGCUGUUAUUCUUACUUUGGGGCUGCUGAGUGUUUCCCUGUUGGUUGGGCUCAUUGGCCUUGGUCUUCACUUCAUAAAUCUGUGGACUUCAUUUACCUUUGCUGUGUCUGCCAUUGGGAGGAUCUUUCCUGGGCUUUUCAUUCAAAUGGCUGCUGACUUCCUCUGCCAGAAGAUCUUCAUAAACCACGCUGUAGUAAGGAGGACAACACUGGUGUCUUGAUCUACAAAAAGCUCUUCGCAUUUCAUAGAUGCUCCAAACACACACAAAACCAAAGAUGACAUAAAGGGCA
ensembl:lncRNA